CAGAUAGUAGAUCCAGCAAAAAUUGAAGUGAUGGUGGAUAAAGUGUUAGCAGCAAACCCUAAGCAGCUUGAACAAUAUCGUGGAGGCAAGUCAAAAUUGCAAGGUUUUUUUGCUGGUCAGGUGAUGAAGGAGUCAAAGGGGAAAGCCAACCCUGCUCUCUUAAACCAGAUUCUUUUGGGGAAACUAAAUGCCAAAAAUUGAUGCCUUUCGAUGUCCUUCUCAUUCGGCUACAAGUUUGCAGCUGGAUAUACUGACGGGCAGGGUGAUUGGCAGUGGCCGUGAACAGGGAGAUCUCUACAGGCUAGUGCAUUCCUUUCCCUUUGCUGGAUCUACCUCGUCGGGGUCGUCCUCAUCCUCGGCUUAUACUUGGCAUUUACGUUUUGGACAUCUCCCGUUUCAGAAACUGUUGCAUGUUCUCCCUCAGCUGUCUCAUAAGUCGUCUUUUCAAUGUGAGUCUUGUCAGUUAGGCAAACACCAUCGGUCAUCCUUUCCUCCGCGGUCUAGUAGAACUAGCCACUCUGUGUUUGAGUUACUUCAUUUUGAUGUUUGGGGCCCGAGUCGUACUCCUGACCUUCAGGGUCAUCGGUAUUAUCUUGUUGCUGUUGAUGAUUACAGUCGUGUUAGUUGGGUUUUUCUUAUGAAACACAAAUCUGAAGCGGGUCAUGUAAUCAAAAAUUUUAUCAAUGAAAUUCUGACUC